rnacentral:rRNA from 1 species
AUUGAACGCUGGCGGCAGGCCUAACACAUGCAAGUCGAACGAGUGGCGGACGGGUGAGUAAUGUCUGGGAAACUGCCUGAUGGAGGGGGAUAACUACUGGAAACGGUAGCUAAUACCGCAUACCAUCAGAUGUGCCCAGAUGGGAUUGGCUUGUUGGUGGGGUAACGGCUCACCAAGGCGACGAACCCUAGCUGGUCUGAGAGGAUGACCAGCCACCCUGGAGCUGGGACACGGUCCAAACUCCUAGGGGGGGCAGAAGUGGGGACUAUUGCCCAAUGGGCGAAAGCCUAAUGCAGCCAUGCCGGGUGUAUGAAGAAGGCCUUCGGGUUGUAAAGUACUUUCAGCGGGGAGGCGUUACCCGCAGAAGAAGCACCGGCUAACUCCGUGCCAGCAGCCGCGUAAUUC